ACAAGAUGGAUGAAAUGGAGGAGUUCAACAGGCAUUCCAUGUAACCAUAGGAUCCUUAACAAAGUAAAAGGUAAGUUCUUUAAAAUUUUGGUUAGGCUAGCUCUGAUUUAUGGUAGUGAAUGUUUGGUAUCUAGGUAUAAUAUAACUACAAGAUGAGUGUGGUGUUAAUGCAAAUGUUAAGAUUGAUGUCUGGUAUUGACAAUGAUAGAUAAAAUUAGAAAUGACAUCAAUACGCUAGAAAGUGCAUGUAGCAUACAUUGAG
rnacentral:misc_RNA from 1 species